rnacentral:rRNA from 1 species
UACGUAGGUGGCAAGCGUUGUCCGGAUUUACUGGGCGUAAAGAGCGCGCAGGCGGUCGAAUAAGUCGAAUGUGAAAUCCCUCGGCUUAACCGGGGAACUGCGUCUGAUACUGGAUGGCUUGAGUUCGGGAGAGGGAUGCGGAAUUCCAGGUGUAGCGGUGAAAUGCGCAGAUAUCGGGAGGAACACCAAUUGCGAAGGCAGCUCGCUGGGACGUCACUGACGCUGAGACGCGAAAGCGUGGGGAGCAAACAGG